rnacentral:lncRNA from 1 species
AUUUGCUAUUGUGAUUAUUAUCAGUUAACUGCCAUUUAUUAAGUGCUCACUGCCUGUAAGAUGUUAUAUCAGGAAUCCUCACUGCCACUUGUGAGGGGAGAGUUACUAGCUUCAUUUUUCUCUAAGCUUCACAUACAGAAAAAGGCUCCGUAUUCAGUUUCUCAUCAUUCUCCUCUCUAAUGCGCACUGCUAAUUGAAUGUUUUUUAUGGACUCCAAGACCCACAUUAACACUGUCUACUUUUAAUUCCAUACAAUGGGGAAAAAUCUCUUGGUUUUAUUGACUGCUUCUUUAUCUGACUUCACCUAAUUGGAAAAUAAACAGAUAAAAUGAUACCUUUACUACUGAUGAAUAAUUCAUGUCCUCUGGCUUUUUCAAAAUCUCUGAGGAAAGUGGGCAAGAAAAGGCAGUGUAAGGGAAAAAGCUUCCUAUAUGUCAAUGCACUAAUGAAAAUGUGAGAGCUCAUUGCCUUAAGAGAGGUCACACAAAAUACCUGAAUUGGGGGAGGGGGUGUUUUGUGUUAAGAAACAGACAUCCAGAGAAGGACCAAGGGAAUUAGGGAGGACUUCAAGGACCUUCAAGAUGCCUUACCCUAAACAGGCGUCUUUCCUUAUGACUUCCAUUGUCAUUCGGAUGAAAAAAUAAAAUCUCAUUGAGGUUGAGGGAGGGUGGGAGGCAGGCAAAAAAUAAAUAAAUAAGAAAACUUCAUAUUAGACUAGUGUUUCUCAAAUGUUGAUGGAGAUCUUCCUAACAUGCAGAUUUUGACUCAAUAGAUCUGGAAUGGUACUGGAGACUUCAUUUCUAAUAAGCUCCCAUGUGAGGUGGAUGCUGCUGUUUCAAAGGCUACUCUUUGAGUAACGUAGUGUUCAAAGAUAAUGCUUGAGGAUUCAGCAAAUAUGAAAAGAUGGUACAGCAUAAGGUG